rnacentral:rRNA from 1 species
CCUACGGGAGGCAGCAGUGGGGAAUCUUGCGCAAUGGGCGAAAGCCUGACGCAGCCAUGCCGCGUGAAUGAUGAAGGUCUUAGGAUUGUAAAAUUCUUUCACCGGGGACGAUAAUGACGGUACCCGGAGAAGAAGCCCCGGCUAACUUCGUGCCAGCAGCCGCGGUAAUACGAAGGGGGCUAGCGUUGCUCGGAAUUACUGGGCGUAAAGGGAGCGUAGGCGGAUAGUUUAGUCAGAGGUGAAAGCCCAGGGCUCAACCUUGGAAUUGCCUUUGAUACUGGCUAUCUUGAGUGUGGGAGAGGUAUGUGGAACUCCGAGUGUAGAGGUGAAAUUCGUAGAUAUUCGGAAGAACACCAGUGGCGAAGGCGACAUACUGGCCCAUUACUGACGCUGAGGCUCGAAAGCGUGGGGAGCAAACAGGAUUAGAUACCCUGGUAGUCCACGCUGUAAACGAUGAGUGCUAGUUGUCGGCAGGCAUGCCUGUCGGUGACGCAGCUAACGCAUUAAGCACNCCGCCGUGGGAGGUACGGUCGCGAGAAGUUAAACUACGAAAGUUAAGUUAGUACGGCGUUGAGACGUUGCCGACGGACGACGACGAGGGGAGGAGG